rnacentral:rRNA from 1 species
UACGUAGGGGGCAAGCGUUGUCCGGAAUUAUUGGGCGUAAAGAGUACGUAGGCGGUUUUGUAAGCGUAAGGUGAAAGGCACUGGCUCAACCAAUGUCAGCCUUACGAACUGCAGAACUUGAGUGCAGGAGAGGAAAGCGGAAUUCCUGGUGUAGCGGUGAAAUGCGUAGAGAUCAGGAGGAACACCGGCGGCGAAGGCGGCUUUCUGGACUGUAACUGACGCUGAGGUACGAAAGCGUGGGGAGC